rnacentral:lncRNA from 1 species
CCUCUUCUUGAUGAUGAUCUCAGGCAUCUUCUGCAAGGACUUCUUACUGGAGUAUAUGGUGCUAGGUUUAAUGAGGAAUUUAUUGCUUUGGCCUGAAGCCUAAUGAGGAAUUUAUUGCUGAGGACCCGGCGCUUAAUGAUGAAUUUAUUGCAGAGGGCUAGGGCUAGGGUUAUUGUCUCCGCUUCAUCCAACUAUAUAUUCGUAUGAGCUUUGUCAGCUUUGGUUUUGAUUACUUGCAAGUAGUCAGAUAUGCACCAUGUCCUAUGGUCAGUGUAUGAAUUGUAAACCUCAAUUAUCUCAACCUUAUCCAACUAUUCAUGUGAGCUUUUUCAGCUUUGUUUUGAUUACUUGCAAGUAGUGAGAUAUGCACCAUGUCCUAUGGUCAGUGUAUGAAUUUUUAACUUUAAUUAUCUCAGCCUUAUCCAACUAUUCAUGUGUGCUUUGUUAUCUUUCUUACUUAUGAUUGCUUGCAAGUAGUCAAAUAUGCACCAUGUCCUAUGGUCAGUGUAUGAAUUGUAAACCUUAAUUAUCUCAACCUUAUCCAACUAUUCAUGUGAGCUUUUUCAGCUUUGUUUUGAUUACUUGCAACUAGUCAGAUAUGCACCAUGUCCUAUGGUCAGUGUAUGAAUUUUUAACCUUAAUUAUCUCAGCCUUAUCCAACUAUUCAUGUGUGCUUUGUUAGCUUUCUUACUUAUGAUUGCUUGCAAGUAGUCAAAUAUGCACCAUGUCCUAUGGUCAGUGUAUGAAUUGUAAACCUUAAUUAUCUCAACCUUAUCCAACUAUUCAUGUGAGCUUUCUCAGCUUUGUUUUGAUUACUUGUAAGUAGUCAAAUAUGCACUAUGUCUUAUGGUAAUUGUAUGAACUGUAAACCUUAAUUAUCUCAACUUUAAAGAACUAUUUGUGUUCUUUGACUAUGUCUAUGGUCCGUUUAUGAAUUGUAAACCCCAAAUAAGAAAACCUAAAAAUUAAAAUUAAAAUUCAAACAAAAUUGGCAGCUUUAGGGGAGUGGCAAGUGAAUAGAGAUUAUAGAGUCAAUAAGAAUACAGAACUGAUACACAAACGAUGGGCUGUGUGCUAUUUCUGGAUGACAAGACAUACAAGCCAUCGGUCACCUCAGUUCACGUGGUCUGCAGCCAAUUGGUCACAAGGUUGUCUGCAGAUCAUAUUGCACAUUGUCGUAUGCAGAGUAAUCUCGCAAUAAGAAUAGCUUGGAAUUGGACAC